UAUGUAUUAAUAAAAUAUUUAACAUCAAAAUUAUAGACCAAACAAUAAAUACAAAAGAAGAGGCUUUAAUAUCUUUGGAAAAAAGGAUUGAAGGUUUAGAAAAUAGAAUAAGUAAAUUAGAAAAAGGAAAAGAAAAAGUAGAAGAAGAGACCAAUACCAUACCAGAAGAAGAAAUCGAACUAUUAAAUGAAAAAGACCUCAACCAUAAAUCUUUUGAGGGAUUAAUUUGUAAUGAAGACAAGAAAAUUAAUACUAUCAAAAUACUAACAAGAAUAAGGAUUCA
rnacentral:lncRNA from 1 species